rnacentral:rRNA from 1 species
AGGCGGUUUGUCGCGUCUGCUGUGAAAUCCCGAGGCUCAACCUCGGGCUUGCAGUGGGUACGGCCAGACUAGAGUGCGGUAGGGGAGAUUGGAAUUCCUGGUGUAGCGGUGGAAUGCGCAGAUAUCAGGAGGAACACCGAUGGCGAAGGCAGAUCUCUGGGCCGUAACUGACGCUGAGGAGCGAAAGCAUGGGGAGCGAACAGGAUUAGAUACCCUGGUAGUCCAUGCCGUAAACGUUGGGCGCUAGAUGUAGGGACCUUUCCACGGUUUCUGUGUCGUAGCUAACGCAUUAAGCGCCCCGCCUGGGGAGUACGGCCGCAAGGCUAAAACUCAAAGGAAUUGACGGGGGCCCGCACAAGCGGCGGAGCAUGCGGAUUAAUUCGAUGCAACGCGAAGAACCUUACCAAGGCUUGACAUACACCGGAAACGGCCAGAGAUGGUCGCCCCCUUGUGGUCGGUGUACAGGUGGUGCAUGGUUGUCGUCAGCUCGUGUCGUGAGAUGUUGGGUUAAGUCCCGCAACGAGCGCAACCCUCGUUCUAUGUUGCCAGCGGGUUAUGCCGGGGACUCAUAGGAGACUGCCGGGGUCAACUCGGAGGAAGGUGGGGAUGACGUCAAAUCAUCAUGCCCCUUAUGUCUUGGGCUUCACGCAUGCUACAAUGGCCGGUACAAAGGGCUGCGAUACCGCAAGGUGGAGCGAAUCCCAAAAAGCCGGUCUCAGUUCGGAUUGAGGUCUGCAACUCGACCUCAUGAAGUCGGAGUCGCUAGUAAUCGCAGAUCAGCAACGCUGCGGUGAAUACGUUCCCGGGCCUUGUACACACCGCCCGUCAAGUCAUGAAAGUCGGUAACACCCGAAGCCGGUGGCCUAACCCUUGUGGAAGGAGCCGUCGAAGGUGGGAUCGGUGAUUAGGACUAAGUCGUAACAAGGUAGCCGUA